GACGGGGCCCGCACAAGCGGUGGAGCAUGUGGUUUAAUUCGAAGCAACGCGAAGAACCUUACCAGGUCUUGGCAUCCCCUGACAACCCGAGAGAUCGGGCGUUCCCCUUCGGGGGACAGGGUGACAGGUGGUGCAUGGUUGUCGUCAGCUCGUGUCGUGAGAUGUUGGGUUAAGUCCCGCAACGAGCGCAACCCUCGACCUUAGUUGCCAGCAUUCAGUUGGGCACUCUAAGGUGACUGCCGGCUAAAAGUCGGGGGAAGGUGGGAUGACGUCAAAUCAUCAUGCCCCUUAUGACCUGGGCUACACACGUGCUACAAUGGCCGGUACAGACGGACGCAAAGCCGCGAGGUGGAGCAAAUCCUAAAAGCAGGCCUCAGUUCAGACUGCAGUCUGCAACUCGACUGCAUGAAGCCGGAGUUGCUAGUAACCGCAGGUCAGCAAUACUGCGGUGAAUACGUUCCCGGGUCUU
rnacentral:rRNA from 1 species